CCACAGCAGAGAGAAUUUGGUGAUUUAAUGGGAGGAGCAACUAGACCUAGGCGGAGGAAAAGACUGUGAGCUGGACCAAUGAAUGCUGUUCCAGAAAAUAGUUGCUGGUGAGUCCUGAGAAGACUUCAUGUGGGUCUGACUCAGCUCUCAAAUGAACAGUCGCCUUUCCCCAACAUCCUUCUUCGUUUCUGCACCACUGAGGAACUUUUUGGCCUGGGGUUAUUCUGCUCCCAACGUGAGCUAACACCCACAGAAGCAGGUUUCUCCUGGGAAACCGGCCAAGUCCAUCUGGAUCCACUGAGAAGCAGACACCAAGAUUACAUUAGAAGUGAUUCCAAUUGGAGAGAUUCCCAUUGGAAGAAAAAGGAAGAGUGAGAAGGCCAGAGCAAUUGAAAUUUAACUGUGAAUCGUGGGCAAGUGGAGUUAUCAAUUUUGAAGAGAAUCAAACAGGAAGAUCCUUUAUCAAAAGUCAGG